CAAUGAAGAGUCUUUCCAGGAGCUUAAUAAUGAGCAAUCCAAAUUAUCAUGUCAUCUCUUUGUCUAUUUUCAUUUGUUACUGAAAAUUCGGGCAUCAAAAUUUACACACAAUGAAAGUAGGCUUCAGUAAAAAUUCAUCCAAAGAUUAUACUACGAGACUUCUUAGAAUAAUAACAACGAGAUUUUGCAAUUCGAAGAUAGCACGAGGGAUUGUCAAUAGAAUCGGCUCAGGUAUGUUAAGGCUAUCGCUUCUUUCUUUUGGCAUGAUCCAUACGAUACGAACGAAACGUACAAAUGCACAAAUUCCAUAAUUAACUCUAUUCAUAGAAGUAUUAGAGAUAUCUAUGUUCAUGAAUCUGCAUGUGUCAUAAUAUUUUAUCAUUUGUUCAUGGGUCUCAGAAAAAUACGAAAGUUGAAAGAGUUUACUUUAUGAUAUUACUCAAAGGCAAAAUGGUCUUAUGACAUUUCGAAAGAUUUAUUAACGUACUUUUCAUGCAUUGCAUUCAUGUACAUUGAUCGUGAUCAGAUGGCAUUAUAUACGCAUAUAUAUAUGUAUGUAUAUAUAUGUAAUGGGAUAUGGGAAAGGCUAUGGCGUAUAUACGCACCACCAUCUGAUCAGAUGGUAUACGUUGUGAUUUUGCCCACAGUGGCCGAUAUUAUAUGAUGGGAUGCCCUCAGAGGCGGAUGAUAUUAUUAAACAUGUAGUUAUGCACGACAUGGCAUUCAUACGCAUAUGCAUGAUGCUAAAAGUAUUUCAUGAUUUACAUAGUUAUUCAGACUUACAGGUUGAGUCAAGUACUCUAUAUUUCUUCCAUGUCUGUUAUGUACUUAUUUAUGUGCCUGACAUACUCGGUACUUUUUUUGUACUGACGAUCUUUUUUGCCUGGGGACGCUACGUUUCAUGCCCACAGGUCCCGAUAGACAAGUCGAGAGCCCUCCAAGUAGGCUAUCAGCUCAGGGGAAGAUGUUGGUGUGCUCCAUUUGCUUCGGAGUUGCUUGUUUGGCUAGUAUGAUUUAGACGUGUAUUGUUUGGUAUGGCGGGACUCUGUCCCGACCUUUAUGACAUUUAUGUACUCUUAGAGGCUUGUAGACAUAUGUUGUGUACGUGAAAGAUUGUACGGCCUUGUCGGCCUAUGUU
rnacentral:lncRNA from 1 species